UACGUAGGGCGCAAGCGUUGUCCGGAAUUAUUGGGCGUAAAGAGCUCGUAGGCGGCUUGUCACGUCGGGUGUGAAAGACCGGGGCUUAACCCCUGUUCUGCAUUCGAUACGGGCUGGCUAGAGUGUGGUAGGGGAGAUCGGAAUUCCUGGUGUAGCGGUGAAAUGCGCAGAUAUCAGGAGGAACACCGGUGGCGAAGGCGGAUCUCUGGGCCAUUACUGACGCUGAGGAGCGAAAGCGUGGGGAGCGAACAGG
rnacentral:rRNA from 1 species